AGAGUUUGAUCCUGGCUCAGAUUGAACGCUGGCGGCAUGCCUAACACAUGCAAGUCGAACGGCAGCACAGGUAGCAAUACCGGGUGGCGAGUGGCGGACGGGUGAGUAAAGCAUCGGGAUCUACCCUGACGUGGGGGAUAACCUCGGGAAACCGGGACUAAUACCGCAUACGUCCUACGGGAGAAAGCGGGGGACCUUCGGGCCUCGCGCGGCAGGACGAACCGAUGUGCGAUUAGCUAGUUGGCGGGGUAACGGCCCACCAAGGCGACGAUCGCUAGCUGGUCUGAGAGGAUGAUCAGCCACACUGGGACUGAGACACGGCCCAGGCUCCUACGGGAGGCAGCAGUGGGGAAUAUUGGACAAUGGGCGCCAGCCUGAUCCANCAAUGCCGCGUGUGUGAAAAAGGCCUUCGGGUUGUUAAGCACUUUUAUCAGGAGCGAAAUACCCGGGGUAAUACCCUAUGGGGCUGACGGUACCUGAGGAAUAAGCCCCGGUAACUUCGUGCAGCAGCCGGGGUAAUACAAAGGGUGCCAGCCUUAAUCGGAUUAACGGGCCGUAAAGG
rnacentral:rRNA from 1 species